UUAUGCAAAUUCUUUCUCAGCCAUCUGUGCUUUGAGUUUUUUUCUCUCUCGCUGAAACAAGUACAAACACAUCCUGCUCUAUCGUAGCGUCUCCUGGGGUGUUUGCAGGCCUGUGAGAAACGACAGAGUUCUUUUGUGCGCUUUCCAACAGUGUACCCAAGAGAGAUGAAGAUUUACAGUUUACAUGGCGUCCCCAGACAGGGAUUUGAAGGGGAAAGAAUCUUCAUUGAAAGGUGUUUUGCCAAACAGUUUAUCGUUUGGGGAGCAAGUGAAGUCAAAACAGAGUUUCUUUUCAGGAACUAGUAAAGGAGACUUUUCUUUCUAUUCAUGCUGAGCAUGAUACAAACGCAGGUCUCAAGGAGAACGGACAGCAUUGUGAACCAUUGUGCCAUCCAGUUUUUCACAGGAAGACUUCACAUUUCCUUUCAGAGUUACCUGUCACUGCUGUCAAUUAUUUACUCAACUUCAUCUUACAGUUUGCCUUAAAGUUUUAAACUUGGAAUCUAUAGGAACCGUGAGAUUCUCUCAACUAUUUGGUAAGAAUCAUUCCAGUCAUCUUUGUGUUGGAAAAGGUUUUAUUUUCAGAGACAGUUGUAUUUAAAAGUGCAGACAAAAUCUAACGAACCCAGCAAUCUGUGUAUUUAACUGAAUUUAGCUUUAAUUUGCCAAAGUGGAAUAGCACAGAGAAAACAGGGAGAAAAAAUAGGAAGCACUUGAUGCUCUCAUAUUUCCCUGAAACCGUACACAAUCAAUUUCUUAAAGUUCACCAACGUGACUAUUGGUGUACAAGGUAAUGGUUCUGAAAGAGUUAAUGCUGUAGCUGCAUUAAACUCUACCAAUCUGAUAAUGACCCACAAACCUAGGGUGAAGAGAAACGACUCGAACAUUUUUCUGAAUAUUGGCAGGCAUUUCAUUUACAAUUCCUAAUAGAUUUUGCUAAUGUUAUAGUGACAGAUCAGAACCCAGAAAUUUUUAUCGACUUUUUAAAUAUUUAUUCCAAAAUGACUGUUUUCUUUUCCAAAAAAAGAAGGGGAUUGCUAUAGGGAACAAAAGCUCUGGAUGUGUAAGUUCUGUGGUUGUCUGACAAAGUCCUGUUUAAGCCCCUGGAUUGAUGUACCUGUACAGUGUUAGGUAAACUUCAAACUGGGAGAAACUUAACAAGAAAAGAUAAUAAUAUGGCUGACUAUCCCACCUCUCAGCAGAAAGAUAUUCUUACAGAAAAAUCUGUUUUAUCUUCCAACGAUAUGCAAGAUUGCAAUGCAAAUUUAUCUGUACUAUUGACCAGGCCAUAUUAAUAUGUGAGCUGGAACGCUGUCAGGAUGAUAGCUUUGAGAACAAAAACGUUAACAUCCCUGCACUGCAGGUAAAACAAAGGAAAUGACUCUUCCUCAUUUUGAAUGCUGGAAUUCAGUCACUGUAAAAAAAACUAGUAAACUCAUUGUUAGUAGUUCAAGUAGUCACAAUGGCCCCCUUUGUCAUUGCAAUACUUCUGUCAUUCUGUGAACUUUGCUCCUUUUAAAAUCUAAAUUCAUUUGGGUCUGUGAGAAAGGUAUCUACAAGGGAAGGGAAUCUUCUUAUAGAUUAACCUUGUUGCUUUCAAAUGAGCAUGCCAGGUAAACAAACAAGGGGAGUUGGUUCAUCCCUCCUCUCCGGGGAGCUAAAUGACUUUGGAUAUCUUGCUUGGAACCAUAACAAAUUGGGCAACCUUUCCCAUGGUCUGUCAUGAAAUAAACUAUAUUUUAUUAUUAAGACAUGUGUCUCUUCUCAUUAAGACUCAAUAGUGAUUUACCCUGGGCCACUGCAAAUUGGAUGUGUC